rnacentral:lncRNA from 1 species
CAACAUCAUGUCGCAUAUAAAAGGAAAUAAUCACCUGUAUAAGCUCGAGCACACAUAUAUAUGUAUAUACAAUACUUGGCUGUUGGAGCCAUCACGUCUAUUAACAAAACACCACCUUGACUGUACAUUAGGUCUACAAAGCCUCUAGACAAUACACAGAGUUUAACUAAGGUCGGGACACACCCCGCCAUAUAACUAACUUCUAUACAAUACCAAAAGUGACUGGAUAUGACACG